UCUUGUUUGAUUUGAGGUUCUGAUUGGUUGACUUGUCAACCUUCAAAGAGGCAUCAAAGGCUCCGUCCGUCGAUCUUGUAGAGAGGGCUUUCGACACUUUUGAAACUUGUUUUCCAGGUGAGAUAUUACUACCACACCGAGAGGGACGGGCCACAAAAGGGCUUCCGCACAACUUGGGAUCGCUUUACUUCAAGGGACCGUUCGCUUUGCAGCAAAAGGACACCUCAUUGCCCGAACCCCUUACGGUGACGGAUGUGAGAAACGACGGUUAGACAGGCGUGCUCCUGGGAAUACCCCAGGGCGCCAUUUGCGUUCAAAGAUUCGAUGAUUCACAAAAUUUUGCAAUUCACAUUACUUAUCGCAGUUUGCUGCGUUUUUUAUCGAUGCCCGAGCCCAGAGAUCCACCGUUAAAAGUUGUUCGCUUUUAGUUAACUUUUGUGCAAGAACCGAAGUUCCUGUCCGAGGAUUUGAUACGUUAAGGCAUUAGAGGUUUGCGUGGGAAAAAAACUAAUUCGGGGCACGCCAAGAUAAACCGAAGUUUACCCUUUCCCACUGGCGAUUUAACGACAAUAAAGUCGACCCCGAAGAACAGCAUCAAGUAUACCGCUAAGGCAGGUAAGAUUGGAUUCGUUAAUGAUCCUUCCGCAGGUUCACCUACGGAAACCUUGUUACGACUUUUACUUCCUCUAAAUGAUCAAGUUUGAACAAGUUCUCGGCGGCACCAUUCCUUGCGGAACGGCAACGCCAAUCCCAAGAUCUCACUAAACCAUUCAAUCGGUAGUA
rnacentral:misc_RNA from 1 species